AUGACCUGUGGAUAGCGGAGAAAUUCCAAUCGAACCCGGAGAUAGCUGGUUCUCCUCGAAAUAGCUUUAGGGCUAGCCUCGCAUUAGUUUACCGGAGGUAGAGCACUGAAUGGUCUAGGGGGCCUCACCGCCUACCGAAACCUAUCAAACUGCGAAUGCCGGAUAAAUGAUGUGCGGGAGUCAGGCCGCGAGAGAUAAGUUCCGCGGUCAAAAGGGGAACACCCCAGAUCGUCUGCUAAGGUCCCUAAGUACGCGUUAAGUGGGAAAGGAUGUUGGAUUGCACAGACAACCAGGAUGUUGGCUUAGAAGCAGCCACACAUUCAAAGAGUGCGUAAUAGCUCACUGGUCGAGUGAUCCAGCGCCGAAAAUGUAACGGGGCUAAAACGCGACACCGAAGCAGCGGGAUGCGUAAGCAUCGGUAGAGGAGCAUUGUGUGAGGGUUGAAGCCAGAGCGAGAGCACUGGUGGACUUCACAGAAGAGAGAAUGCCGGUAUGAGUAGCGAGACCCAUGCGAGAAACAUGGGCGUCGAAGGCCCAAGGUUUCCUGGGGAAGGUUCAUCCACCCAGGGUAAGUCGGGACCUAAGCCGAGGACUGAGGUCGUAGGCGAUGGACAGCAGGUAGAGAUUCCUGCACCACUUAUACUUGUUUGACGAAGCAGUGACACAGAAGGAUAGGACGGGCGCGGUGAUGGUCAACCGCGUAGGCGGCACGAGGCCGGGAAGCAGUGAAGUACACUUUCCGCAAAGGCUGAGUGUUGACAGGACCGAAAAGAAGUAGGGAAGCGUCCGAGUUCACGCUGGCGAGAAAAGCUGCUAAGGAGAGUGUGAGUGCCCGUACCGGAAACCGACGCAGGUGGGCGAGGAGAGAAUCCUGAGACGGACGGGAGAACUCUUGUUAAGGAACUCGGCAAAAUGACCCCGUAACUUCGGGAGAAGGGGUGCCUCGAAAGAGGCCGCAGAGAAUAGUCACAAGCGACUGUUUAGCAAAAACACAGGUAUCUGCGAAAGCGAGAGCUGACGUAUAGGUGCUGACGCCUGCCCGGUGCUGGAAGGUUAAGGGGAAGUGUUAGGGGAAACCCGAAGCAGAGAACCGAAGCCCCAGUAAACGGCGGCCGUAACUAUAACGGUCCUAAGGUAGCGAAAUUCCUUGUCGGGUAAGUUCCGACCCGCACGAAUGGCGUAACGACUUGUGAGCUGUCUCAACAGGAGGCCCGGUGAAAUUGAAGUAUGUGUGAAGAUGCACAUUACCCGCGACUGGACGGAAAGACCCCGUAGAGCUUUACUGUAACCUGACAUUGGAUCUUGAUAACGGAUGCACAGGAUAGGUGGGACGCUGGGAGACGAGGACUUUGGUUUUCGUGGAGCGGCCGUUGGGAUACCACUCUUCUGUUAUUGAGAUUCUAACCUCAAGCCGUGAGCCGGAUGAGAGACAGUGUCAGGCGGACAGUUUGACUGGGGCGGUCGCCUCCGAAAGAGUAACGGAGGCGCCCAAAGGUUCCCUCAGAAUGGAUGGAAACCAUUCGAAGAGAGCAAAGUCAGAAGGGUGCUUGACUGCGAGACCAACAAGUCGAGCAGGUACGAAAGUAGGGCUUAGUGAUCCGGCGGUAAGAGAGUGGAAUUGCCGUCGCUCAACGGAUAAAAGCUACC
rnacentral:rRNA from 1 species